UACCUCCUGUUACUCUCUAGCUUAAAAAACCUUUAAUGUGGUGAUGUCCAUCUCAUGUCAGCCAGGGAUAAAGCCAACCCUUGUUUAUCCCAGCUCGGCUCUUGAUCUGUGCCCAUGGCUGGUUUGUGCCUUGGAUACAAGG
ensembl:snoRNA